rnacentral:rRNA from 1 species
UAUGUGAUCGUCUCUCGCAUAUCAAUAAGCGGAGGAAAAGAAACUAACAAGGAUUCCCCUAGUAACGGCGAGUGAAGCGGGAAGAGCUCAAAUUUGAAAUCUUAAAGGGUUUCCCUUUACGAAUUGUAGUUUAAAGAAGUGUUUUCUGUUGAGGUUUUGGUAAAAGUUCUUUGGAAUAGGACAUCAUAGAGGGUGAGAAUCCCGUAUUUGACCUUUACUUUCAACUUUGUGAUACACUUUCAAAGAGUCGGAUUGUUUGGGAAUGCAGUCCAAAACUGGGUGGUAAAUUUCAUCUAAAGCUAAAUAUUGGCGAGAGACCGAUAGCGAACAAGUACCGUGAGGGAAAGAUGAAAAGAGCUUUGAAAAGAGAGUUAAACAGUACGUGAAAUUGUCAAAAGGGAAGCGUUUGACACCAGUGUUGUUUUUCUGAAAAUCAAUUAAAGAACUGUUUAUGCUAAGUUGUUUAGACUUUAUCAGCUAACUGUUUAGUUUUGAGCUUUUCUUUAAUGCACUUUUCAGUUAACAAGUCAACAUCAAUUUCUUUUGCUGUAAAAAAGCUUGAGGAAGGUGGCUUGAGAUUCGUCUUAAGUGUUUAUAGCCUCUUGCCUAUGCAGUCGGAGAGAUUGAGGUCUGCAGCGUAGAUCCUUCGGGGCUAAAUGCAUUUGUGCUAAGUUAUAGCAUUUUAUAGACAACUUGUUGACUAUGAUUUGUCUUGUAGCUUACUCGCUUAGGUUAUUUUACCUACGCUUAGGAUGUUGAGUAGCGACAUACGCAC